rnacentral:rRNA from 1 species
AACCGAGUCUUAACUGGGCGUUAAGUUGCAGGGUAUAGACCCGAAACCCGGUGAUCUAGCCAUGGGCAGGUUGAAGGUUGGGUAACACUAACUGGAGGACCGAACCGACUAAUGUUGAAAAAUUAGCGGAUGACUUGUGGCUGGGGGUGAAAGGCCAAUCAAACCGGGAGAUAGCUGGUUCUCCCCGAAAGCUAUUUAGGUAGCGCCUCGUGAAUUCAUCUCCGGGGGUAGAGCACUGUUUCGGCAAGGGGGUCAUCCCGACUUACCAACCCGAUGCAAACUGCGAAUACCGGAGAAUGUUAUCACGGGAGACACACGGCGGGUGCUAACGUCCGUCGUGAAGAGGGAAACAACCCAGACCGCCAGCUAAGGUCCCAAAGUCAUGGUUAAGUGGGAAACGAUGUGGGAAGGCCCAGACAGCCAGGAUGUUGGCUUAGAAGCAGCCAUCAUUUAAAGAAAGCGUAAUAGCUCACUGGUCGAGUCGGCCUGCGCGGAAGAUGUAACGGGGCUAAACCAUGCACCGAAGCUGCGGCAGCGACACUGUGUGUUGUUGGGUAGGGGAGCGUUCUGUAAGCCUGUGAAGGUGUACUGUAAGGUAUGCUGGAGGUAUCAGAAGUGCGAAUGCUGACAUAAGUAACGAUAAAGCGGGUGAAAAGCCCGCUCGCCGGAAGACCAAGGGUUCCUGUCCAACGUUAAUCGGGGCAGGGUGAGUCGACCCCUAAGGCGAGGCCGAAAGGCGUAGUCGAUGGGAAACAGGUUAAUAUUCCUGUACUUGGUGUUACUGCGAAGGGGGGACGGAGAAGGCUAUGUUGGCCGGGCGACGGUUGUCCCGGUUUAAGCGUGUAGGCUGGUUUUCCAGGCAAAUCCGGAAAAUCAAGGCUGAGGCGUGAUGACGAGGCACUACGGUGCUGAAGCAACAAAUGCCCUGCUUCCAGGAAAAGCCUCUAAGCAUCAGGUAACAUCAAAUCGUACCCCAAACCGACACAGGUGGUCAGGUAGAGAAUACCAAGGCGCUUGAGAGAACUCGGGUGAAGGAACUAGGCAAAAUGGUGCCGUAACUUCGGGAGAAGGCACGCUGAUAUGUAGGUGAAGUCCCUCGCGGAUGGAGCUGAAAUCAGUCGAAGAUACCAGCUGGCUGCAACUGUUUAUUAAAAACACAGCACUGUGCAAACACGAAAGUGGACGUAUACGGUGUGACGCCUGCCCGGUGCCGGAAGGUUAAUUGAUGGGGUCAGCGCAAGCGAAGCUCUUGAUCGAAGCCCCGGUAAACGGCGGCCGUAACUAUAACGGUCCUAAGGUAGCGAAAUUCCUUGUCGGGUAAGUUCCGACCUGCACGAAUGGCGUAAUGAUGGCCAGGCUGUCUCCACCCGAGACUCAGUGAAAUUGAACUCGCUGUGAAGAUGCAGUGUACCCGCGGCAAGACGGAAAGACCCCGUGAACCUUUACUAUAGCUUGACACUGAACAUUGAGCCUUGAUGUGUAGGAUAGGUGGGAGGCUUUGAAGUGUGGACGCCAGUCUGCAUGGAGCCGACCUUGAAAUACCACCCUUUAAUGUUUGAUGUUCUAACGUGGACCCGUGAUCCGGGUUGCGGACAGUGUCUGGUGGGUAGUUUGACUGGGGCGGUCUCCUCCUAAAGAGUAACGGAGGAGCACGAAGGUUGGCUAAUCCUGGUCGGACAUCAGGAGGUUAGUGCAAUGGCAUAAGCCAGCUUGACUGCGAGCGUGACGGCGCGAGCAGGUGCGAAAGCAGGUCAUAGUGAUCCGGUGGUUCUGAAUGGAAGGGCCAUCGCUCAACGGAUAAAAGGUACUCCGGGGAUAACAGGCUGAUACCGCCCAAGAGUUCAUAUCGACGGCGGUGUUUGGCACCUCGAUGUCGGCUCAUCACAUCCUGGGGCUGAAGUAGGUCCCAAGGGUAUGGCUGUUCGCCAUUUAAAGUGGUACGCGAGCUGGGUUUAGAACGUCGUGAGACAGUUCGGUCCCUAUCUGCCGUGGGCGCUGGAGAACUGAGGGGGGCUGCUCCUAGUACGAGAGGACCGGAGUGGACGCAUCACUGGUGUUCGGGUUGUCAUGCCAAUGGCACUGCCCGGUAGCUAAAUGCGGAAGAGAUAAGUGCUGAAAGCAUCUAAGCACGAAACUUGCCCCGAGAUGAGUUCUCCCUGACCCUUUAAGGGUCCUGAAGGAACGUUGAAGACGACGACGUUGAUAGGCCGGGUGUGUAAGCGCAGCGAUGCGUUGAGCUAACCGGUACUAAUGAACCGUGAGGCUUAACCUUACAACGCCGAAGGUGUUU